UUGAUGAUGAAAUUCUUAGAUAAAAUUCUACAAUAGUGGAUAUAUUACAUCCAUGAAAAGGUUUAAAUUACCAUUCUGUUCUUGGCUGCAAAGACACCGUACUGUGACCAAGACCUUCCCCUUGAGAGACACAUGGUCAAAUCUCUGGAUACACAAAUCAGUUUGUUCUUUUUAAUGCCUCUAAAAAUGCUAACUAUUCAGGUCCAGUGUAAUUGUUAGCCUUCAGAUGGCUCUUUUAAGCUCUUAUCGUGGACUGAAUUGUUUGGAAUAUACAUGAACUAGUUCUCUGGUUUAGGCUGAAGUAGACCCUCGUGAGUACUCUGCCAGCUCUUUUUGCAAGCUCCACUUUUGAGAACUGUUGAUAAACACUCUGGACAAUAUUCUGUCCUGCAGUCAUGAAUUCCUGUUGUUCUCUUGAACAUGCCAGACUUUGAAUAAAAGCCAUUGCUUCCUGGAGGGCAGAACCACAGUUCUAGCAGGCAGUACUGACCUUGACAUCACACAGUACUUACUGUGUCAUUUGUAUGUAAUUCUUGUACAUGGAGAUAUGGAAAAUUGUUGCUGACAGUGUGUUUCAUGUUAUUUUUCCACUGACCAUGCACACAGAGUGUAAAUGUCAAGCAACCAUUGUACCAAAUCUUAUGCAUUGCAACAUAAAUGUACCAGUAGUUCACAGACAUGUAAGAAGAAUUUCUUACAGGAGACCCAGCAAGCUUGGACUUUAGCUGGCUGUUAUGCACCCUCUAAAUCUUUGUCACUUGGGAUAAACACAUCCCUUGUAAACACAGUGGGAAUCACACUUACAUGGGGUUUUCAUAUGUCAGACUGUAGUCUCUUUCACUUAUGCUAUAUUCACUAUGUAUUAUGUAGUGAUAUAUAUAAUAAAAAUUUAAUACUACAUAUUCA